rnacentral:rRNA from 1 species
GGGGUAAAAUUAAUAAAAUAAAAAUAAUAAAAGAAUUUUUAAUAUUGGGGGGUAUUAAAGUAUUUUUUUAAAAAAAAAUAAUUUAUUUUAUAGUUAAAUAGUAUUGAGAAAGAAAUUUGAAAUAAUUGAAAAUAAGUUAAUUAAAAAGUAAUUUUUAUUUAAUGUAUCUUGUGUAUCAGAGUUUAUUAAAAAAUAUUUUUUUUAAAAAAAAAUCUCGAAUUUAAAAGAGUUAAUUAAUUAUAAAAGUUAAUGUAGAAAAAUUAUUUUAAAUAAUUAAUUUGAAAUGAAAUGUUAAUCGUUUUUAAAUAUAUCUAGUUAUUUUAGAAAAAAAUUUAAUUUAAAAUUUAAAAAAUUUAUUUUUUAAUUAUAAUUAAAAAAUAAAUUUUAAAAUUAAAUAUAUUAAGGGAUAAGCUUUAAUAUAAAAUUUUAUAAUAAAAUAAAAUUUAAAUAAAAAUUUUAAAAUUUAUAUUGUUUAAAAAUUAUAAUUUAUUAUAAAAAAUUUUAUUAAAAAUAAAAUUUAAUUAAAAAUUUAAUUUUAUAUAAAAUAAUAAUAAAAAUAAAAAAAAAAUUAGAAAUAAUGAUAAAAUUAGUAUAUUAAAUAAAAAUGUAAUUUAAUUAAUUAUAAUUAAAUUAAAGGAAUUCGGCAAAAUUUUAUAUUCACUUGUUUAUCAAAAACAUGUCUUUUAGAUAAUAAUUUAAAGUCUAAUCUGCCCACUGAUAAUAUAUUAAAGGGCUGCAGUAUAUUGACUGUACAAAGGUAGCAUAAUCAAUAGUCUUUUAAUUGAAGACUUGUAUGAAAGAUUUGAUGAAAUAUAAACUGUCUCUAAUUUAAUAAUAAAAUUUAAUUUUUUAGUUAAAAAGCUAAAAUAAAAUUAAAAGACGAGAAGACCCUAUAGAGUUUAAUAUUAAGAUUAUUUAAGAUUAUUUAUUUAAUUAGAAAUUAAAAAUAAAAUUAAUAUUUUAUUGGGGUGAUAAAAAAAUUAAUAUAACUUUUUUUUUAUAAUAACAUAAAUAAGUGAAUAAUUGAUCCAUUUUUAUGAUUAAAAGAAAAAAUUACCUUAGGGAUAACAGCGUAAUAUUUUUUUUUAGUACAAAUAAAAAAAAAAGUUUGCGACCUCGAUGUUGGAUUAAGAUAAAAUUUAAAUGCAAAAGUUUAAAAUUUUGAUCUGUUCGAUCAUUAAAAUCUUACAUGAUCUGAGUUCAAACCGGUGUGAGCCAGGUUGGUUUCUAUCUUUAAUAGGAAAAAAUAUUUUAGUACGAAAGGAUCAAAUAUUUUUAAUAAUUAAAAUUUAAUGAAUAUUAAUAAUAAAUAAUUAU